CCGAGUUAACAAACUCCCAAACCUUUGUGAACAUACCACUGUUGCUUCGGCGGGUUCGUCCCGGGCGCGCCUCACAGCGUGACCCGGACCCAGGCGCCCGCCGGAGGACCCCAACUCUUGUUUUUAUAGUGUCUCUUCUGAGUGGUAUAAGCAAAUAAUUA
rnacentral:misc_RNA from 1 species